CGGCGCGUGGGCGGCGCGGCCGGCCGAGGGCCGCCUGGCGCACGUCGCCGCGCGCCUGCGCACCCGCUACCCGGACUGGCCAGAACAGACUGAACUACUAAAUGCGUUCCAAACUGCAGCUGAAGAAGUCGCCGCGCCUAGAAUAUCCCAGCCUAACAUUACAACAUUCUUUGAGACCAACUGAUGUACCUGAACAUGUAUUUAUAGCAUAAGUAAUAUAAUUUAUUUAUAGAUAGUCAUUAUAUUAAUAAACAAAAUAGGAAUGGGCCAGGCAAAGAAGAUAUUUAUAUUAUACAGUGUGUCUGGUCACCAGUGUCCACUGUCCAACCUAUUAGGUCGCAGUAAUAUGAUCAAUUUUAUCGACAAAUCUACUGGAAUAAAACAUUUUAUUCCUACUUUUAAAACAUUGCAGGUAAUUGAAUUUUUUGGGUUUAUGAGUUCGGGUGGAUUCAUUUAUUUAGAAAUAUCUAUCGAUGUAGGAGGCCUAUAAGUAUAAAAGUGAAUUCGUUCGACAGCUAAAACAGUAGGCAAUAAGAACAUAAAAAAAAUAUAUCAAAAGCUCCAUUAAGCUUGACAUGUAAAAAAAAAGAUGCUUUUUCUUAAGUUUUUAGAUGCACUGUCAUUACCUAAAAACUGAUGUUAAUACCUAAGCUUUAAGGCGAUUAUCCCACUGCACCGCGCUCCGCCGCAGUACGCGGGACGACAGAUUUAAUCAUUCCGUGCGCAAACGCGUUGUCAGUGUGUUGUGCCGCGCGUGUGUUUUACAAACUGAGGUACUUGCAUAUAAUGAUUAAAUCUGUCGUCCCGCGUACUGCGGCGGAGCGCGGUGUAGUGGGAUAAUCGCCCAAGUCAACGUUUUUUAUUUAUGUUAAUAGAUGUUUAUACAGGGUGUAUUAUAAAAAAAAAGUGUAUUAUUUUGAGUGCACUAGUGUGAUGAAUACAAAAAAAAACAAUAAAAUACUGUGAUACUAUA